rnacentral:tRNA from 1 species
UGCGGUAUAGAGUAAUGGUAGCUCAACUGGCUCAUAACCAGUGAUGUGCGGGUUCAAAUCCCGCUGCCGCGACCA